AGCGAACAGGAAGUAGUUUUUGUAAGCAGCCUGACACUGAGGGGAGCCAGUGAGAAUAUAAGAAGCCCAGGCUGAACAGAAGGUAGAAAGCCAGCCAAGCUACAGAGGAGAUGGCCAACUGCCUAAAAGCCAUUUGGAAUCUGAGAUUCCAGGGAGUGGUCCUCGGAGCUGCCCAACUUCUCUGGCUUGGUGCCUUCAUCUCUGAGCUAGCUAACCAGAAGGAAGUGGCAGCAUGGACCUAUAAUUACACCACAAAAGCAUACUCGUGGAAUUUCUCCCGGAUGUUCUGCCAGAGGCACUUCACAGAUUUAGUGGCCAUCCAGAACAAAAAUGAAAUCGCCUACCUCAAUGACGUCAUACCGCCCUACAGCUCGUACUACUGGAUUGGGAUCCGAAAGAUCAAUAAUACGUGGACCUGGGUGGGAACCAGAAAGCCUCUCACGGAGGAGGCACAGAACUGGGCUGACAAUGAGCCCAACAACAAGGGGAACAACCAAGACUGCGUGGAGAUGUACAUCAAGAGGCUGGAUGCCCCUGGCAAGUGGAAUGACGAGCCCUGCUCCAAAAAGAAGCGAGCCUUGUGCUACACAGCCUCCUGCAAGGCCACAUCCUGCAGCCAACAAGGGGAGUGCGUUGAGACCAUCGGGAACUACACCUGCUCCUGCUACCCAGGCUUCUACGGGGCGGAGUGUGAGUACGUGAGAGAGUGUGGGGAAUUUGGCCUCCCUCCCCACGUGUCCAGGAACUGCGAUCACCCCCUGGGCAGCUUCUCUUUCGACUCAAAGUGCACUUUCCACUGCGCUGAAGGGUACACACUGGAUGGGCCCAGCGAGACAAAAUGCCUGGCUUCCGGGAUCUGGACAAACCAGCCUGCGCGGUGUGUGGCUGUGCAGUGUCAGCACUUGGAAGCCCCUGGCAGUGGGACCAUGGACUGUGUGCAUCCACUGGCCCCCUUUGCAUACGGCUCCAGCUGCAAAUUUAGGUGCCAACCUGGCUAUCGAGUGAGGGGCUUGGACACACUCCGCUGUGCUGGCUCUGGCCAGUGGACCGCAUCCUUGCCAGUCUGUGAAGCCAUCACAUGCAGGCCACUGGAGAGCCCUGUCCACGGGGGCAUGGACUGCUCACCGCCGUCCGGAGCGUUUCAGUACAACACCAGCUGCAGCUUCCACUGUGCAGAGGGCUUCAUGCUGAGUGGCGCUGAUGUCCUUCGGUGCUCCGACUCGGGAGAGUGGACAGCACCAGCCCCAGUCUGCCAAGCUUUGCGGUGCCAGGAUUUCUCUGCUCUGAGCAAGGUUCAGAUGAACUGCUCCCACCCAUUUGGGGCCUUUAGGUACGGGACAGUCUGUGACUUUACCUGUGCUGAAGGUGCGCUCAUGGUGGGAGCAAGUACACUACAGUGCUUGGCUACUGGACACUGGAGUGCUGCCCCUCCAGAAUGCCAAGCCACUCCUUGCACCCCCUUGCGAGGGCCCCAGAACGGAACGAUGAGCUGCAUCCGACCUCUCGGGAGAUACAGUUACAAAUCCACGUGCCACUUCACCUGUGAUGAGGGCUUUUCCUUAUCGGGCUCCGAAAGACUGGACUGCGCUCCAACUGGACAAUGGACAGGCUCCCCACCAACGUGCACAGCCAUCAAGUGCCCAGAACUCUCUGCCCCACAGUGGGGCAGCCUGGACUGUUCUCAAGCUUAUGGAGAAUUCAGUGCUGGCUCCAGAUGCCAUUUCUCCUGUGACCAGGGCUUUAAGCUGGAGGGGUCAAACAAUGUGGAAUGCACAACUUCUGGAAGAUGGUCAGUGCCUCCGCCAACAUGCAAAGCUGUAGGGUCAGCUCCUGUUCCAGCAACGCAAUGUCCAGCCCUCACCACUCCUGCGCAGGGGACCAAGUUCUGCAAGAAUCACCUAGGAACCUUUGGUUGGACCACCACUUGCUCCUUCGGAUGCAAAGCUGGAUUCACACUCGCUGGUGACGACAUUCUCAGAUGCAAGGCUUCAGGACAAUGGACAGCGGCGACCCCGGAAUGCCGAGCCAUCAAAUGCUCUGAACUGCGCAUUAAUAAUGCACUGGUGAUGAACUGCUCCAAUCCCUGGGGAAAGUUCAGCUUUGGCUCAGACUGCAGCUUCCAUUGUCCAGAGGGGCAGUUACUUAACGGAUCCACAAGAGCAACCUGCCAAGACAACGGCCACUGGUCAGCCACCGUGCCCACCUGCCAAGGGGGGGCACUGACUACUCGGGAAGCCCUGACUUACUUUGGUGGGGCAGUGGCUUCCACAACAGGCCUGGCCAUGGGCGGGACUCUCCUAGCUCUGCUAAGAAAGCGUCUCAGAAAAAAAGGUACUAACACACAUAGAAGAAAAAGAAAAAAUGUAACUAAGGACACCGGAGGGACAAUGGAUGCUGAAAUCCUGAUGAUGGAAAACGUCCCUUGAACCCUCAAAGCCACCUAGGUACAUAUGGAGUUUUCACAAAUGUUGCGUUUGAAGAAAACCCUUAAGAGACACAACUUUCUCCUGGUCACCUCAUUCAGCCUCUCAGGAUCCUGCUAAGGAACAUGAACCUUCCUGUUAGACUUGACUUCAUCUG